ACAUAUUCUAAUGAGUUUUUUGAGUAUUGCAGUUGAAAAUGCCUUUGUGAAUAGAUCUGGUAAAUUAUCACUUGAUCUUACUCAUUGAAUAGCAUUUUGAUAACUCUUUUGGAGGUGAUGAAUGUAAAAGAACUUGGGUCAUAUAUGCUUAAUUUUAUCACCCUUAAUACAUCCUUCUUUAAUAUGUGCAAUGCAUACAACAUUAUCUUCAUAUAACUUGGUAACAUUACCUUUAAUGGAGGGUAGUUCACCAUUG
rnacentral:lncRNA from 1 species